rnacentral:lncRNA from 1 species
GCUUAAUAUGUGAUGCAUUGUUGUAUAUAUGCAAUAAACAACAUAGGAUAAGCAUUGUUAAUCAUGUACUACUGCGGUCAAACAGAAAGCGUCCAAUAGCACUACUGCGAUCAAACAGAAAGCAUCCGAUAGCACUAUUAUACAUCUAAAAUGCGCAUUGUUAUAUUUCAAGUAACCUAAACUUUUGGAUCUCUUUGGACCUCAUAUUUCAAAUAUGAAAAUAGAAGCCAUCUUCAUAGCAAACUCUAGUUGCCGUUAUCCAUACAUCUUCAAAUCCACACCAUCUGACUGCAUUUAAGAUGUGGUCUUUUGCAUAAAUCAUCAACCCAUUCAUCUUAUUCCAUAUCCAUAAAAUCCUAAAAGGUCAUAACCAGUAUGAACCUUAGGUUUGUGGGGUUUUGGUUGCAUGAAGUUGUGGCUUCAUUAGUGAAAAAAGAAAAAUAAUUGUUGCUGACCCUUCAUUGAAAAGGUAUAUGAGCCUCUGUGGUAAUUGGUCAUGACUACAAAUGCCAUGAGCUUGAAGUACAACCAAAGAUAAGUGCCUUCUUAGCCUGCAUAGAAGCCCACAAAAAGUAGUUGCAAGAGCGGAGGCAUUUGUACUAAGAAACAGCCGAUGACAAUACAACAUGGAGUAUUAGUGGAUGGAAUGAUAUAGUUGAUGAACUCUACAGAACAAAACCUACCCAUGAUUCUAGCAGAUGGUGGCUUCGAUAUGUGGAUUGUCAAACUCCAUAAGAACCAGAACUAUUGUACAUACCUGCAUAAAUUAGCACUAAUAUUAAUGAGUAAAUCUAUACAAGGGUGUCUACUGCAAACCAAGUAAUUGACAAAAGAGCAAAGCUGAUGAGAAUAACAAGCAUCAAUGUAAAAAAAGAAGAAGGAAGAGCAUGUGAAGUAUCUGAAAUAUAUACCAAAUCUACACGACUACCUUAUGUCACAAAUAUAGCUAUACCAACUAAUGAAUUAAAAAUAAAAAUCAAUAAGAGAAAAUAAGGGAUACAUGCUAGUUAGUAUUGGAGUUAAGCUCCCAAUACUGUUGUGGAGAAUUGGUGUUGUUUAGGACACUAUAAUUUUCUUCAAUGGUCCCCUGUAAGUGUGAACAAAAAAAAAUCAAAACCUUAUUGGCAGUGUUCAACAUCACUCAUAAGAUUAGACAAAAAAGUGAUUGCAUUAUGGAUAUAACAAAUCAUGCCUAUAAGUAUAGACAUUUGAUAAUUAUUCCAUGAAAGAAUUACAAGAUAAGAGGAGGAGGAAUACUAGAAAGUUUCUUAACCCCUGGUAAGGAAACUUAGAAUAGGUAUGCAGCUUCACGAAUAACCAAUAUCCACAACACCAACAGAUGGACCAAAUAACCAUCAUUUGGCAAUCUAUUAAAGCUGAGAAUGAACUUUGGGAACCUGACCAAACAAGCAGACCAAAGAUCAGGUAGGGCAGAUAUUUUCCUUUGCAAGCAGUUACAUUUUAAGGCGU